CCUCAGCUAGUUAUCUGUCCCAGGUGU
rnacentral:piRNA from 1 species